UACGGGGGGGGCAAGCGUUGUUCGGAAUUACUGGGCGUAAAGAGCGUGUAGGCGGCUGGGUAGGUCCGUUGUGAAAACUCGAGGCUCAACCUCGAGACGCCGAUGGAAACCAUCCAGCUAGAGUCCGGAAGAGGAGAGUGGAAUUCCUGGUGUAGCGGUGAAAUGCGCAGAUAUCAGGAAGAACACCCGUGGCUAAGGCGGCUCUCUAGUACGGUACUGACGCUGAGACGCGAAAGCGUGGGGAGCGAACAGG
rnacentral:rRNA from 1 species